rnacentral:rRNA from 1 species
AGAGUUUGAUCCUGGCUCAGAUUGAACGCUGGCGGCAGGCUUAACACAUGCAAGUCGAGCGGAGAUGAGGUGCUUGCACCUUAUCUUAGCGGCGGACGGGUGAGUAAUGCUUAGGAAUCUGCCUAUUAGUGGGGGACAACAUUCCGAAAGGAAUGCUAAUACCGCAUACGUCCUACGGGAGAAAGUAGGGGAUCUUCGGACCUUGCGCUAAUAGAUGAGCCUAAGUCGGAUUAGCUAGUUGGUGGGGUAAAGGCCUACCAAGGCGACGAUCUGUAGCGGGUCUGAGAGGAUGAUCCGCCACACUGGGACUGAGACACGGCCCAGACUCCUACGGGAGGCAGCAGUGGGGAAUAUUGGACAAUGGGGGGAACCCUGAUCCAGCCAUGCCGCGUGUGUGAAGAAGGCCUUAUGGUUGUAAAGCACUUUAAGCGAGGAGGAGGCUACUGAGACUAAUACUCUUGGAUAGUGGACGUUACUCGCAGAAUAAGCACCGGCUAACUCUGUGCCAGCAGCCGCGGUAAUACAGAGGGUGCGAGCGUUAAUCGGAUUUACUGGGCGUAAAGCGUGCGUAGGCGGCUUUUUAAGUCGGAUGUGAAAUCCCCGAGCUUAACUUGGGAAUUGCAUUCGAUACUGGGAAGCUAGAGUAUGGGAGAGAAUGGUAGAAUUCCAGGUGUAGCGGUGAAAUGCGUAGAGAUCUGGAGGAACACCGAUGGCGAAGGCAGCCAUCUGGCCUAAUACUGACGCUGAGGUACGAAAGCAUGGGGAGCAAACAGGAUUAGAUACCCUGGUAGUCCAUGCCGUAAACGAUGUCUACUAGCCGUUGGGGCCUUUGAGGCUUUAGUGGCGCAGCUAACGCGAUAAGUAGACCGCCUGGGA